rnacentral:rRNA from 1 species
UACCCGCAGCACAAGUGGUGGUCAUUAUUAUUGGGCCUAAAGCGUCCGUAGCUGGCCUGUUAGAUGCCUGGGUAAACCGAUGCGCUCAACGUAUCGAACUCCGGGUAGACCGGCAGGCUUGGGACCGGGAGAGGCGUGAGCUACUCGAGGGGUAGGGGUAAAAUCCUGUAAUCCUUCGGGGAGGACCAGUGGCGAAGGCGUCACGCUAGAACGGCUCCGACAGUGAGGGACGAAGCCCUGGGGCGCAAACCGG